AACACUCUUCUCCCCUUAACUCACCAGCUUAAUUUUUGGCUUUAAUCACACACACACACACACUCUUCCCAAAUAGUACUUUCUCUGUGAAACAAAAAACUUUCCUUAUCAAAGUAGAUCUGCAUUUCUUCUUGAAUCAUCAUAAUCAUCAUGUCAUUUCAUUAUUUCCCUGAAUUUCAUAGGAUAAUAUAUCAAGAUAAGAAGCUGGUAAGCUAAGCAUACUAAUUCAACAUGUAUAUUUAUUAAUUUACAUUAUAUAUGUUUCAUUUAUAUUUUUUGUUUUAAAAAUAUUAAUAUCUUUUUGAAUGUUUUGUUGUAAUGUAGAGUAUUCCCAAGAAAUAUAUGGAGAAAUAUUGGAAAGGAAUGUCAAACCCAAUAUUCCUUAGAUUCCCAAAUGGUGUUGAACAAGAAAUAUUUUGGGGGGAGAGUAAUACUAAUGAUGAUAUUUGCUUUCAAAAAAAUUGGGAAAAUUUUGCAAAGUGUCUCAAAUAUGGAAAUCUCUUAACUUUUAAACACAUAGGUGGACCAUAUUUCAUGGUUAACAUAUUUGGUGUCAAUGGUUUAGAAAUAAACUAUUCCAAUGUAAAAUCCAUUGUUGAUCAACAAGUUGUUGAAGAAGUAGCUAAAGAAAUUGCAAAGCAACCACAAAGAAAAAGUAAUAUCAAGAGAGAAAUAAGUAUGGAUUGGGAUUCUAAACACCAAAAAUUCUCAGGUAGUAACAGAGGAGGCAUGAUGAAGAAGGCUAAAAAAUGCACAACAACUGCUGCAGCUGCUAAUCAAAAUCCCUUUUUUGAAGUUGUAUUGUCAAAAACGUAUGC
rnacentral:lncRNA from 1 species